GAGUUGACGGGAACUCUUAGUUACUCUGCACCAGCCAGUGACCUAAUAUCGGAGACUACAGUCUCAAGCUGACAGUUUCCUAAGUGUAAAGACACUUUACAGGAAGAAAAAGUCUAAUUAGGGCACCACCAUCUCUAAAAUCCUGGGUCUUCUGCUGCAACUGGGCUGCACUUUCACCAAUGGCAUUUCCUGGCCUCUCACAGCUGCUCUCCACGACCCCUUCACGCCUUCGAAACCGGUACCACCGGAGUGAUUCUUACAUUACCAAGUUCAACUGCCAGCACAAGACCCUGGCCACAGAUGCAUGGCUUUGUUGUGUGCUGCUCAUCUGCCACCAGAGGCUUCAUGCCGCAUGUGUCUGCAGACAUGACCCGGCACCUCCAAACUGUGAGCCACAGUGAACUUGAAGUUAACACACACUGAAUGGCAUCUAACACAGGGAAGCAGCGAACCAAAAGCAAUUCAGAAGCAAACACUGGGGAAAUUAUUAAUUGAUAGACAGACCCUCAUGUAGCACAAGCUGGCUUCAAACUCAUUAUGUAGCCAAGGAUGGCCUUGAACUUAUGAUCCUCCUGCCUCCCCGUCUCUAGUGCUGGGGUUACUGGCUUGUACCAUCAUAUCCAAUUCUGUUUGGUGCUGGGGAUUGAGCAUAAGGUCUGUGUUUACUAGGCAAGUCUUCUGCUAACCAAGCCCCAGGCCAGGAACGUGCACCUUUAAAUGCCGAAUGUUGGGGCUGGAGAGACAGCUCUGUGGCUAAGAGCAUUGGCUGCUCUUGCAGAGGACCCAGAUUCAUUUAGUUCCCAGCACCCACAUGAUGGCUCACAACUACCUGUUACUCCAGUUCCAGGGGAUCUAACAGCUGUUUCUGGCCUCUUUGGGUAGUAGGCAUCCACGUGGUACAUACACACAUAUGCAGACAAAACACUCAUAUACAUAAAAGUAAAAUAAUUUAAAUGUGGAUUGUUUUACACAGUAAUUCAUCCUUGUGAGACCUCGAGUGCAGAACAGACUCUUGAAGGAGUCAACACAUUCAAGACUUAUAUGUUAACUCAACAAGAAUUAAGACAAGAACUUCACAGCUCCCAGACUAGCUCACCUCCAUUCUUGCACAGUUUGCUUCUCAGGAACGAGUUCCCUGCCCACCACCACCAUUACAAUGCAGAGCACAGGAACACCAAAACCAAAAGAAUAGGAACUGAACUUCCGGAAGCCAGUGUGAACUCCAAAUUAAAAGGUCGAGAAGUAGAUAUUACUGUCAUCACUAGGAAGUGAAACCAAUAAUGCAAAAACCAGGGAGACGGGCCAUCUCUGCUGUCAGAGUGCCCUCUGCUGUGGAGGGUCUUUUCCUCUUCAUGCCUGCUGUGAGCAAGUAUUUCCUCACCCCCAACAAACACCUUUCUUUAAUGGCUGAUUCUGUUGGCUGCUGUCUGUGGUGUCUGAGAUUUCUCUGCUGCCAUCUCUUGUACUCCAGACUCUUCCGGCCUUUUAAUUCUUUAACUGGAAGAGAACAAUCUCAAGCAAGAUCCCUGGACUGUGUCAUUUCAGAGGCUCUUCUUGGGUUUCUUCUGAAGAUGGUAUCAAUUUGGGAUCUUGUCUUGGGAUUUCUUUUGAGGACCACUGACUCAUGGAGAUGCUACUCGUAUGAUAAGCUGCAGAGAUGCAUACCAUCACCAAAUGGCUGUCUUAUGCUCUGGAUCACUGUCAUCACUUAAGUUUUAUUGUGGCUCCUUAGAGAGACCCUCCUCGAGGCACGCUGACUGCUGCCUCUCUAUCAGUUCAAGGCAGUCAAGACCUCAGAGCAGUUAGGGUGACCUCUGAGAGGGCAGAAGGAAAGACUAGGAGUUCAACAGACUCCCUGGUAGACAGAGAGGGAAGAGGCCUUGGCUAGGUAAAUAACAAAUUUCCAAACAAACACACAAAAAACAAAACCAUCACAAGCAAUGAUCUGAAUCUGAACUUACUUUUUAUUUUGCUUGAAUAAAGUACCUAAGUUAAAAAUCCAGAGUUGAAUAGACACAGUUCUUUUCCCGGUUGAUCCGAUGGGAAAUUGUUAGGUUCUGGGCAGGUCUUGAGGUGACUGCAGAUACACAGGUCUGCUUUCAACUCCAGGCACCCUUCCAAAUUCAUUAAGAUCUGAACCGAUGCCGGUAUCACUGAGAAGACGGUGCUUCUCUGCUUGGCAUUCCAUGAGCCAUCUCAGAUAAGUAAAGCUAGAUAUGAAUGUGGGGUUGUGCUGUGGGAUGGUCUGUAUGUCAAAUGCUCUGACUGGUCAAUAAAUAAAACAAUGAUUGGCCAGUGGCCAGGCAGGAAGUAUAG